rnacentral:rRNA from 1 species
CAGUCGCCGCGGUAAUACGUAGGUAGCAAGCGUUACUCGGAAUUACUGGGCGUAAAGCGUGCGUAGGUGGUGGUUUAAGUCCGUUGUGAAAGCCCUGGGCUCAACCUGGGAAUUGCAGUGGAUACUGGGUCACUAGAGUGUGGUAGAGGAUAGUGGAAUUUCCGGUGUAGCAGUGAAAUGCGUAGAGAUCGGAAGGAACAUCUGUGGCGAAGGCGACUAUCUGGGCCAACACUGACACUGAGGCACGAAAGCGUGGGGAGCAAACAGGAUUAGAUACCCCUGUAGUCCCUGUCUCUUAUAC